GAUGAACGCUGGCGGCGUGCCUAAUACAUGCAAGUCGAGCGAACGGACGAGAAGCUUGCUCCUUUGACGUUAGCGGCGGACGGGUGAGUAACACGUGGAUAACCUACCUAUAAGACUGGGAUAACUUCGGGAAACCGGAGCUAAUACCGGAUAACAUUUUGAACCGCAUGGUUCAAAAGUGAAAGACGGUCUUGCUGUCACUUAUAGAUGGAUCCGCGCCGCAUUAGCUAGUUGGUAAGGUAACGGCUUACCAAGGCAACGAUGCGUAGCCGACCUGAGGGGGUGAUCGGCCACACUGGAACUGAGACACGGUCCAGACUCCUACGGGAGGCAGCAGUAGGGAAUCUUCCGCAAUGGGCGAAAGCCUGACGGAGCAACGCCGCGUGAGUGAUGAAGGUCUUCGGAUCGUAAAACUCUGUUAUUAGGGAAGAACAUAUGUGUAAGUAACUGUGCACGUCUUGACGGUACCUAAUCAGAAAGCCACGGCUAACUACGUG
rnacentral:rRNA from 1 species